GAAAGGCUUGUGGGUUUUUAAGUGGAGAAAUAUAAUCAGAAAACAAAAUUAUAUUGUCUUAUUAAUGAGUUUGUGUUUUAUAGCAGAUUUUGCUAUUUAGGCAACUGCUGUUUCACUUGUUUGCAUGGAUCUGGAUAUUAUCUGUCACUGCUUGGAUCAUUAGGUUUUGCAGUUAUAUAUGGCACGUGAACUCCUUUAACAGCCUUUUCAGAUUCUUCUUGGUUUUGAUUUAUUUCAUGUAUCAUCUGUUUUUUCAUUCUUCUCUGCCUUGUCGCACUUAUUUUGAGGUUCAAUGGGCAUAUCCUGUUUAUUUCAUUCUCUGCUACAUAAGUUGUUCUCUUACUUGCUUAAAAUUAAUUUGCUUAAAAUUAAUUUACUUAAAAUCAAACAUGAAAUUUUUAAAUGUUAAAU
rnacentral:misc_RNA from 1 species